rnacentral:lncRNA from 1 species
CCCCUGGCGUGGCGGAUGCAAACGUAAAAGAAAGCGCGCAAGGGCCCUCGUCCACCCAGCGGCGUCAGCAGCGACACUAACCGACUCCAAGGGACAUCGCGGCUGUCAGGACUGUCACGGCCUUGAGUCACCAGAGGAGCCCGGGCCGAGGCUUUCUGGGACUCUCGGGCUCCCUGAGCCUCGCCGCUGGUGUCAGGGCUCCUGCACAGGAGGACCCCAGGGUCUCCCUCUGUAAGAUGGAAGGGAUGGUGUCAGCCCAAAGGGACCCACGCCGGCGCCAUCAUCUCUGAUUCUCCCUGGCUGGCAAGCAGGGAUCUAGUGGCACCCACAGCUGGCUUGGGGGCCUCCAGGGGGACACAUUCCUCCUGCGGGAACCCAUGAGAGGAGCACAGUGCCCAGACAGUCAUGGCUUCUGGCCUUGACCUUCCUAAGGCCCAGAGAGGUUGCAGGACUCGUUGGAAGACACACAGCAGUCCCUGCCUGCGCUCCAUUCCCCAGCAUUCUCUGCCUGAGGGAUCCAGGAGGGGUCCAGAAGAGGUGCGGCUGUCUGGCCUGAAAGGCCCAUCAGUCCUCAGGCCUGUGGGGCACUGGGAGGCCCAGGCCCGGGGCUUCGAGUUAGGCAGAGCACAACCCUCCACAGCUCCCAUUGGUCAGCAAACGGACAAAGCGCUUGGACAGAAAGCAGAAACAAAGAACAAACAGAAAAGUCCUGAAUGUAGGACAGGUGUGACAAGUCAAGGAAGGACAUGGCACAAGACACACAAGUCCCUCCUGUUGGUCCCUGCUGUAGACGACUACGUGAAAGGGCUUAGGUCCCCGGCUGAGUCUCUGGGAAAGAAUGUUGUCCUUGCCCAGCAAGCCAGCACGUUCCGCUUUCCCUCAAGCAACCAGGCAGAAAGGAUCCCCCAGCAGGAGAGCCCCCACCGCCCGGCUCUACAGCCAGGCCUGGGCACCCAAUAUCUGUGGAGGAUCUACGUCCCAGGAUCACCUCUUCAGCGUCACACUCACCGCUGCACCCCAAAGCCCGCGCAGUUCCGCCAGGUGGAAGAGGAAAAGCUUUCUGCUUCCUCGGCUCACUCCUGUGUGUUCGGACUCACAAGCGGUGUCUUUCUUAGAUGCAGUGUGUCACUUACGCCUGAAGCAAGGGUAGCUCCGACAGAGCCAGGAUGGCAGGGGACCGGAAGGAACAGUGUGAAGCCAGGAACUGGGGCUGCACGUGUCGUCUCCUUGAUCCUCCCAGCAGUCCUGUGCAGGAAGUGUCGUGAUCCUAUUUUGCACCUGAGAAAACAAAGGCUCAGCCCUAAGCAGCUUGUGGCAGGAACUUGCUGCCCUCAUAAAGUGCACUAUUUUGUGGGUUUGUUGUUCAGGCUGGCCUUGAACUCAUACUGCAGCACAGGUGAUGCUCCUGCCUCAGCCUCCUAAGUGCUGGGACUACUGACGUGCAGCACUAUGCUGAUCAUAAAGUGCACUGACUGACUUUUUUAAAUCCCCGAAGGGUCCUUGGAGGCACCUGCAUUGUCCUCACAGAGGACACAGGGACUUGCCCAAGUCAUCUACAAAAGCCAGAAUUCAAAGCCAAGCCCAUGCAGUUCCGAAACACUUCCCCCUGCCUCCAAAUGUCAAUGUUUUCACACUUUGUGGUUGCUUUUAGGCACUGGAAACCUAUGCCUAGGUGUGAUCCAAAUCUUCUCCUCCUGAGAGCCCUGCAUUUGCAGGAAAAUAUUGUGUUUGAGCCUCUACUUGCUGUGUG